AUCCCGCCCCCCGUCUUCGGUUCCUCCACCUGUUGGUGGGGACUCGAGGGAACCCGGUGCGAGUCCGGGACUGCCCCGCAGCGGUGAACGGGAACGAAAACCGUCAGGAUGCACUGGUCCUCACCCGAGGGCUGGGAAGCGACGGCCAGUAGGCAAGGUGUCCUCCGCGCGAGGCCACGCUGCCCGUGAGUCCGAAAACCUGCCGAGGACCCGUGCCGGUG
rnacentral:ncRNA from 1 species